rnacentral:rRNA from 1 species
AUACGGAGGGUGCAAGCGUUGUUCGGAAUCACUGGGCGUAAAGGGCGCGCAGGCGGUUUGGUAAGACAGAUGUGAAAGCCCACGGCUCAACCGUGGAAGUGCAUUUGAAACUGUCAGACUUGAGUACUAGAGGGGAAAGUGGAAUUCCCGGUGUAGAGGUGAAAUUCGUAGAUAUCGGGAGGAAUACCGGUGGCGAAGGCGACUUUCUGGCUAGAUACUGACGCUGAGGCGCGAAAGCGUGGGGAGCAAACAGGAUUAGAUACCCCAGUAGUCC